rnacentral:rRNA from 1 species
UCGAACGGCAUCACACGUAAGAGCUUGCUCUUAUGGGUGGCGAGUGGCGGACGGGUGAGGAAUACAUCGGAAUCUACCUUUUCGUGGGGGAUAACGUAGGGAAACUUACGCUAAUACCGCAUACGACCUUCGGGUGAAAGCAGGGGACCUUCGGGCCUUGCGCGGAUAGAUGAGCCGAUGUCGGAUUAGCUAGUUGGCGGGGUAAAGGCCCACCAAGGCGACGAUCCGUAGCUGGUCUGAGAGGAUGAUCAGCCACACUGGAACUGAGACACGGUCCAGACUCCUACGGGAGGCAGCAGUGGGGAAUAUUGGACAAUGGGCGCAAGCCUGAUCCAGCCAUACCGCGUGGGUGAAGAAGGCCUUCGGGUUGUAAAGCCCUUUUGUUGGGAAAGAAAAGCAGUCGGCUAAUACCCGGUUGUUCUGACGGUACCCAAAGAAUAAGCACCGGCUAACUUCGUGCCAGCAGCCGCGGUAAUACUAAGGGUGCAAGCGUUACUCGGAAUUACUGGGCGUAAAACGUGCGUAGGUGG